AUCUCUGCCCCUCAGAGUCCGAGGGAGGAUGGAUGGAACAGGAGGAGCAUCAUGAGAAGGCUUCCUGUAAACUACGGAGGGUGAGGGGACAGAGCGUGAGGGAACGUUGUGAGAUGGCGACCGUGGAAGCCAGCAGAGGGUGUAGGGUCUCCUGGAGCCACAUCUCUGGAGUUACAAGAAGUUGUGAACCUCUCAACAUGGGUUCUGGGAACUGAACCCAGGUCCUCUGGAAGGACAUCGAGUGCUCUUAACCACUGGGCCAUCUCUGCAGCCUAACCCCAUCCCUUGGAGGCUGAAGCAAAGCAAGUUCAAUGACCGUGCGACCUGGCUCUUGUUUGGGCCUAAGGAAAAGCCGACUGUAAGCCGGGGAAGCAUCUCUGGCAAGAGAUGAAUAAGGAUUAAGCACGUCUGUGGUUGUGCGCAGGAAUCACAAGUGCUCCUGCAGUGGGAAGAGCCACCACUAGGGGCGCUCCAAGUCUUGUAUUUUCUACCUUGAAAACUCGUUUCCCUGCAGCUGCCCUCCAAAUCCAACGAAGAUGAAUGGCUUUUAGUUUACCUAGCUGAUUUAAUAAACUUUAAAAAUAAAUGU
rnacentral:lncRNA from 1 species